UCAUCAUCAACCUGCUUGCUUCUCAGACUGGGUGAAAAUGCCCUAUGUCAAUACUUAGGCCAUGGAUUUACCUGCAGGGGCAGUUUUUUUUUUAUCGUUUCUGGUUAUGUUUUGAAAUUAUUACUAAAUGUUACUACAGUGAUACAGUAAAAACAUUUUGAUUUAUUAUAAGUGGUUGUUUAAUCAUAAAAACUUGCUUGAUAGAAACAGUUGCAAGCAGGAUGUUGACUGUACUUCAGGUAUAUAUUUGUAUGACUUCCUUCAGAAGGUAUAAAUGUGAUUAUGUCUUAAAUGUAUUUUAGUUGAACUUUGCGUUAUUUUUCUAUAUUCGUUUAAUACAUUAUUGCCAAAAAAAAAUGUUUCCCUGGAUAUAUUUUGCCUCAGUUUGUGUUACAGAUUGUGCCUAUGGUAAAACCAUUGCCUUAAACAUUUUGUUGAUUAACCUUUAGCCAGCUGGCGGCAAAUGAAUCUGCCUAUGCGACCAGUGCAGACCAAGAUCAGCCUGCAUGUCCUUGCAGGCUGAUCCUGGUCUGCACUGUUCGCUAUUCAGUCAGUAAAUUUUCAGUGAACACCUUAUCCAAUAAUAAAUGGUAUUAUCCAAAUUGAAUGACGGACCAGUCCAUUGUAGAAAUUUAGCUGGGUAAGGGUUAAACAAGAUACUGCAGUGCUACGUAUGCUAAAGGCCGUUUGUAAAUAUCACAUUUUAAUGUACAUAUGGUUGACUUUGGGAUGUUGAAAUAUUUACAAAAGUUUAAUGCUGUCAUGAUAUAUGUUAAUUAAAUUUUCAGUCGUAAUGGAAAAGAGAGAAAACAUUUCACCAUUAAGGCUAAUUAAUCAGCUUACUUUGUAAUGUAUAAGAAAAAAAAAGAAAGUAAUAAUUUGAUAAAAGGUUAUAUAAUUUUUGAUAAAUUGUUCAAUAAACUUCUACUGUUAACGUUAUUCAUGUAUGGCAUUCAUUACAAAGUCACAAACGUAAUUGGGCACAAAAUGUCCAGUUGUUUUGAAACAUUUUUAUGACACAAAAAUAUUCACUUGUAUUCUCAAUCAAAAUAUCAGUGUUAAAAAAUCAAGAGUCUUUGCAAAUGGAAAUUUAUUUUACAUUUUUAGCUCACCUGAGCAUGAUUGCUUGUGGUGUGUUAUGAUUGCUCAUUGUCCAUAAUCCACCUAUUGUCCAUCCUGCUGCUCAUCCAUCGCCAAUCCCUCCGCACUUUUCUUCGUUUUCUGUGCAUUACUGUUGUAGUCAUAAUAAAGUUUCUGAAAAUGGCGAAGGAUCAGAUUAAUCUGACUGCAACCUGUUUCCGAUUACUCCCGAUGAUCGAUCAUGAAAAUGGACUGAAUAAGCAUCUCUAUCCAAAAUGCCCUCAGCCUGCUUUAGUAGUCUGUGUUUGUUUUUGCCACCCAGUUUUAAAGACCUAAGAAGCAUAGAGUAUUUGAACUGUUUGUCAUCUCUCACACUUAUUUGAGCUGUGCCAUGAGAAAACCAACAGAGUGUGUUUUGUGACCAGCAUGGAUCCAGACCAGCCUGCGCAUCCGUCAACAGCAUGGAUUCUGACCAGACUGCGCGGAUGCGCAGGCUGGUCUGGAUCUAUGCUGGUCGCAAAUGCACUAUGUUGGUUUUCUCAUGGUGUGGCUCAUUUAUGUAAUCAGCUUCUACAGCUUCUGGAACUUUUGACACCUGGAGUAUAAUGUGUUCCUCUUCCAAAGUUGCACACUGUCUAGCUUUUUUAGGCCCUAAACUUAGCUGAGCAUUCUAUAGGCAUCAUGGCACUCUUGUUUAAUUAUAUUUUGUUUCAGAUUAAAUGAUUUAUGUAAGUUACACAUUGUUGGUUUGAUAUGUGUAAUGCUUUACAAAUGGCAUUUUUACCCAUAAAUAACUACAUUACAUCUUCCAGUUACAAAUUAUUUGUACUUAAAUAUAUAAAUAUAUAAGUUACACAUUGUAGAUUUGUUACUUGUUGUCAUUUGCAAAUGACAUUUUUAUCCUCUAGUAACUAUGUUACAUUUAUUCUGUUACAUUAUUUUUAUACUGAAAUGUUAUAUGUAAGUUCUGUAUUGUAGAUAUGUUACAUAUUAUUUAUUUUUUAAAGAUGGCUUUGCCUGUAAAACGCAGAUGCACCAGUAUAAAGGGUAAAUAAUUUUAUCAGUGUACUUUCAUACCAAAGUUUAUGAAGGUAUAAAUAUCUAUGUAUAGUUAAUAGUAUACAUUAUUUUAUCACAGUGUUAUAUUUCUUAAGAAUGCUUUGAACUUAAUUACUGACAGACUAUAUGUUACAGAAACACAUGAGAAUUAGUUGUUUUUACUACCUUUUACAAUGAAAAUCGAAAAAGGGUUUGUAAUACUUUACUCGGGCCUCAAUUAUAAAUAUCUGUAUUUAACGUGCAUUGAACUCUAAAUCCUCCAAAGCGUUAUUGGUAAUGGCAGCGGAAAACUUCUUUAUUGCCGUGGUGGUCCAGGUUCGUUUCCUAACGCGGUCAUCUUUUUUCUUGAUUUGGCAUUUUAUAAAAUAGUUAGAAACAAAAACACAUAUUUUAAUAAUCAUAAUAUUACCAAACUUUAGUUUGAAAGAAAGAUAAUUUUUUUAUCCAAAGUCUGGAGGUCAAUACCUUUAAGUGGAUAGAUUUGUGAGUAAAAAUAGUAGCUGCUUGCCGAUUCCAGAUGUUUCGCAGAAGGAAAUUUCCAAAAACUUAAGUGCUAAAGAUAAGUUUGUUUAUCUUUACUUUACUACAAUGACAUGGCAUGGUGUAAAAUUUAAAUGUACACAGCCUGAUAUUUUUACCCCACGAACUUUUCCAGUUUUACAGUAACAAGUAUUUUUUAUUACUUAUAAUAAUAUAUUAUACUCCACAAUGUACAAACAAUACACUUCUAUUUAGACCUUUAAAGUUACAGAUUCUGUUAGAUGUUUAUAUUUUUUUAUUGUUUAUAUGAAGUCGCCAAAUGACAUCCGUAUCUGACAGUUAGAGGUCAUUUCUGUCUUGCGGAUAUAUUUAUAUAUUACAUGUAUUUGGUCUGAAUUAAUAACCAAGGAUAUUUCUUGCCCAUUUAUUAUUUCAUGACAUCUUCUUACUAGUUAGAUCUGUAUAUCACAGGCAAUACAGUUUUUUUUUCUGUAUAUCCUAAAGCUUAUUAUCUUGGCAUAGAAUUUUUCCCACAUUUUAGUAAAUCUAUUGUAGACUCUUUUUUUAAGUGGUCUUGUUAUAAAAUUGUUAGUAAACACAUGCUUUUCUAUCGGCUUAAUGACAAAAUAGACAUAAGUCCUUUCAGUUUUAGUAAUUAAAAACUGAAUUAAAGCUACAUGUAUAUUACCCGUAUCAUAAGUACAGUUCAUACUCAAAAUGCAAGGCAUCAGAGUUAUUUGACUUUAAUGGCAUUAGCUAUUAUUCUCCUACAAGUCUUGUCUCUCAGUUCAAAUCAUGGGCCACCACAGGAGCCAUUGUGUUGCACAGAACAUGUAUUUUACAUAUGAUCCGCGCCAUGAGAAAACCAACAUAGUGCGUUUGUGACCAGCAUGGAUCCAGAACAGCCUGCACAUCCGCGCAGUCUGGUCAGGAUCCAUGCUGUUCACUUUCAGAGCCUAUUACAGUUAGAGAAACUGUUAGUGAACGGCAUGGAUCUGGAUCCAUGCUGGUCGCAAAGCCACUAUGUUGAUUUUCUCUUGAUGCGGCUCAUAUAGUACAUGGAUUUGUUGAUGCUUCUACGCAUUUGUUUCAAGCCAGGUCACUUAGUCAGAUUGUCACAUGGAUAUAAAGUUACAAUACAUGCAGAAACGAAAAAGAAGUUCCAGCAAAGAAAUGUUAAGAUUAGGCAUUACCAUUGUGGUUCCCUCCUCAAACGAACAACUUUUGCCCAAUUAGACUUCUUGUUGUUAUCAUGUAAUUUUAUCAAAACUGAAUAUUGAUGAUAAAAUAGGAUAGUGGAACCAACAGCCAGCGCAGAAUAAGAUUAAUCAAUUUCUUGUUAUAACCAAUGUUUCAACUCUCACAAGUCUUCUUCAGGGUAAAGAAUAUCAAAAAAUAUCUAAUAUGCCUUGUACUUUUUAUUAGCCUUUGCUGAAAAUAUGUAAGUUUUGUAUGAUUGUUAUUGAUAUGGUUUAUGUUUAGGUCUUGUUUAUUAAAGAGUAGACCAUGCCAAAGUUCAAAUUUGCCAUGAUUUGUUUUAAGAAUCUCUUGUAAAUGACACUUACCGGUAGGUAUUUUUACCUAUUUAAUGGUAGCUUAUUACCAGAUUUCAAUCUUUGGUUUUAUGCCAUCUUAUGUUUUUUGUGCGAGAUUUUUAUCAACAUUCCGAUGCCUUAGAUAUUUAUUUGUCACUUUGUUAUUGUUAUUCUUUAUUUUGAUUUGUUUUAGUUUUUUAUACUUCUUUUUUUAAUCCAAAAAAAAAAAAGCAUGACCCAAAGCAUUUUGGAAAACUUUGUCGAAAAUGUGCAUUUGAGCCGUGCCUUGAGAAAACCAACAUAGUGCGUUUGCGACCAGCAUGGAUCCAGGCCAGCCUGCGCAUCCAUGCAGUCUGGCCAGGAUAGAUACUGUUCGCUUUCAAAGCCUAUUGCAAUCAGAGAAACGGUCAGCGAACAGCAUGGAUCCUGACCAGACUGCACGGUUGUGCAGGCUGGUUUGGAUCGUUGCUGGUCGCAAAACCACUAUGUUGGUUUUCUCAUGGUGUUGCUCAUUUGGUUUCAUGUUUAAUAAUUAGAAGUCUUCAAAAUUUGUUUUUAUACGUGUUGUUUACUGUAUGGAAGGUUAACAUACUGCUUUAAUUUGGAGUUGUAUUUUAUUUAUUUUGAAUGUAUGUUACUUUUACAUAUAGAGAAUAUAUAUUUCAUGCAUUGAUCUGUGAAAGCAUUGUUUUAUUGGCAGGAUUUUGUAAUAAAACAAAAAAAAUAA